AUGACUGAAUAUGCUAGAGAAGAUGGAGAAAUGGGGGUGAAAUUAAGAGGCUUUUCACUGGGUAAAGCUGUCUUCAGCUCCAGUGGAAGUAGACCCUGCUGUGUGAAAGGCCUGACUGCAUUUCAGCUUGAUUAAAGGAGCAGCUGAAAGGAAACGUCCCCAACCUUUACUACCAGAAUGCAAGUCUAAAUGCUGGAUGCACAGAGCUGUUGGAAAGGAAUCAAAUUGCCAGUGGUCAAAUGACCAAGCUGGGGUAUGGAUGCACUUAUGACUUUAUAUAAAUUUCAUGAAAGGAGCAUCAGGGCAACACAAAGUUCUUUCCUACUCAGCAGACGGAAGUACGGUGAAUUUAUCAGCCCUUCUAAACAACAGAGGCCCACAAAUGUGAAAACCAG